rnacentral:rRNA from 1 species
GGGGGGUUACCCGGUGAAAACUUAGCAUAUCAAUAAGCGGAGGAAAAGAAACUAACAAGGAUUCCCCUAGUAACUGCGAGUGAAGCGGGAAAAGCUCAAAUUUAAAAUCUGGCGGUCUUUGGCCGUCCGAGUUGUAGUCUGGAGAAGCGUCUUCCGCGCUGGACCGUGUAUAAGUCUCUUGGAACAGAGCGUCAUAGAGGGUGAGAAUCCCGUCUUUGACACGGACUACCAGUGCUUUGUGAUGCGCUCUCAAAGAGUCGAGUUGUUUGGGAAUGCAGCUCAAAAUGGGUGGUGAAUUCCAUCUAAAGCUAAAUAUUGGCGAGAGACCGAUAGCGAACAAGUACCGUGAGGGAAAGAUGAAAAGCACUUUGGAAAGAGAGUUAAACAGUACGUGAAAUUGCUGAAAGGGAAACGCUUGAAGUCAGUCGCGUUGUCCGGGACUCAGCCUUGCUUCGGCUUGGUGCACUUUCCGGAUGACGGGCCAGCAUCGAUUUUGACCGCCGGAAAAGGGCUGGAGGAAUGUGGCACCUUCGGGUGUGUUAUAGCCUCCAGUCGCAUACGGCGGUUGGGAUCGAGGAACGCAGCACGCCUUAUGGCGGGGGGUUUACCCUACCUCCGUGCUUAGGAUGCUGGCAUAAUGGCUUUAAACGACCCGUCUUGAAACACGGACCAAGGAGUCUAACAUGCCUGCGAGUGUUUGGGUGGAAAACCCGAGCGCGUAAUGAAAGUGAAAGUUGAGACCUCUGUCGUGGAGGGCAUCGACGCCCGGACCUGACGUUCUCUGACGGAUCCGCGGUAGAGCAUGUAUGUUGGGACCCGAAAGAUGGUGAACUAUGCCUGAAUAGGGUGAAGCCAGAGGAAACUCUGGUGGAGGCUCGUAGCGAUUCUGACGUGCAAAUCGAUCGUCAAAUUUGGGUAUAGGGGCGAAAGACUAAUCGAACCAUCCCCGAGCUGGUUCCUGCCGAAGUUUCCCCUCAGGAA